ACACGACUACAUUAGAUACCCGCGUAGUCCUAGGCGUAAAUGAUGUGAGUUAAGUGUGGGGGCAUCUACGAGAUGGCCCUGUGCUGUAGGGAAGCCGUGAAGCGAGCCACCUGGGAAGUACGGCCGCAAGGCUGAAACUUAAAGGAAUUGGCGGGGAGCACCACAACGGGUGGAGCUUGCGGUUUAAUUGGAUUCAACGCCGGAAAUCUUACCGGGACCGACAGCAACAUGAAGGCCAGGCUGAAGACUUUGCCGGAUUAGCUG
rnacentral:rRNA from 1 species